GGGGCUAUAGCUCAGCUGGGAGAGCGCCUGAUUUGCAUUCAGGAGGUCGAGGGUUCGAUCCCCUUUAGCUCCACCA
rnacentral:tRNA from 1 species